rnacentral:rRNA from 1 species
AACGUAGGACGCAAGCGUUAUCCGGAGUUACUGGGCGUAAAGCGCGGGCAGGCGGUUCUGCCAGUCUGAUGUGAAAUCUCCUCGCUCAACGGGGAGCAGCCAUUGGAAACUACAGAACUGGAGUCUGACAGAGGUAGGCGGAAUUCCGGGUGGAGUGGUGAAAUGCGUAGAGAUCCGGAGGAACACCAGCGGCGAAGGCGGCAUCCUGGACUGGUCCUGACACUCAGGAGCGAAAGCGUGGGGAGCGAUCCGG